rnacentral:snRNA from 1 species
AGCUUUGCGCAGUGGCAGUAUCGUAGCCAAUGAGGUUUAUCCGAGGUGCGAUUAUUGCUAAUUGAAAAAGGAACUAUCCUUUCAACCUGUCCAGUGGUUGAAUAAUAUGUAAAAUAAAGCAUUUA